UCUCCGUAGGUGAACCAGCGGAGGGAUCAUUCCUGAAAACGCAAGAUCUAACAACCUCUUUGAACCUACCGAAACCUCCCCUCGUCCAAUGUCCUCUCACUGGCCGCGAGCUGGCUGCCACAAGCCCGCCCGGUCACCUUUGGGCUUUCUAUCUACUCCGAACUUUCGUGAUAUUGGCUGAAAAAUUUUAUGAAUAACUUAUUUCACAAUACAACUUUCAACAACGGAUCACUUGGCUAUCGCACCGAUGAAGAACGCAGCAGAUCGGAAGCACACUCG
rnacentral:misc_RNA from 1 species